AGGCUCCACCCUGCGUCAUCCUCCCAAACUUCUCAAGCGUCUGGCGCUUGGGGUCACUGCCCCCAAGGAGGCACCUGGAGGGGGGGAUGGCGUCCACUCCGAUGGGGAAUGAGGGGGAGAAGAAGAGCAGCUGGCCGUCUCAAGCUGCACCCUCCUUGAGAGGAGGUCCGGCUUCCUUGUCUCUCUCUGAGGAAUACCUGUCCCGGAUCAGUGCAGAACUGACGGAGGAGGCUUUGUGCACUGCUUGUUGCCACUUGAACCCUGUGCCCAUCAAAAAAAAACAGACACAAGACCAAGCGACUCAGAUAUCCAAACGUGCAUUCUUCACCAAGACCUGAGGCACAGACACCGGAAGCCGUACCUGCAGCAAGGCACACCCCCUGCCAACUCCUCGUGAAAAG